rnacentral:rRNA from 1 species
CAGUCGCCGCGGUAAUACAGAGGGUGCGAGCGUUAAUCGGAUUUACUGGGCGUAAAGCGUGCGUAGGCGGCUAAUUGAGUCGGAUGUGAAAUCCCCGAGCUUAACUUGGGAAUUGCAUUCGAUACUGGUUAGCUAGAGUGUGGGAGAGGAUGGUAGAAUUCCAGGUGUAGCGGUGAAAUGCGUAGAGAUCUGGAGGAAUACCGAUGGCGAAGGCAGCCAUCUGGCCUAACACUGACGCUGAGGUACGAAAGCAUGGGGAGCAAACAGGAUUAGAGACCCCAGUAGUCCCUGUCUCUUAUAC